UACGAAGGGGGCUAGCGUUGCUCGGAAUUACUGGGCGUAAAGCGCACGUAGGCGGCUUUCUAAGUCGGGGGGUGAAAUCCUGGAGCUCAACUCCAGAACUGCCUUCGAUACUGGAGAGCUCGAGUCCGGGAGAGGUGAGUGGAACUGCGAGUGUAGAGGUGAAAUUCGUAGAUAUUCGCAAGAACACCAGUGGCGAAAGGCGGCCUCAGCUGGCCCGGU
rnacentral:rRNA from 1 species